rnacentral:sRNA from 1 species
UUAGCAAAAAUCGUAUGAAUAGGCAGUGUCAAGUUAAUUUUGGGUGAGUUUCCUUGAAGUCAGCAUUAUUUACUUUGAUGAGUUCAUGCUCCGUUGAGGCCGCAAUGUUCCCCUCCUGCACAGUGGGAGUGAUGGCAUAGCCUCUUACCCCACUGAGGGGUUGGAGUCCUAACCCAGGAACUGGUUCUGACACCUUUACUUGCUGAUGCUCCUCCAGGGCCCAUCAACCGUGAGAUGCGCCACCUGAUUAGUAGUCUUCAAAACCACAACCACCAGCUAAAAGGGGACGCCCAGCGAUACAAGCGGAAGCUUCGAGAAGUACAAGCUGAGAUUGGCAAGCUCCGGGCCCAGGCCAGUGGCUCUGCCCACUCCACCCCUAACCUGGGCCACCCAGAGGAUUCUGGCCUCAGUGCCCCAGCCCCAGGGAAAGAGGAGGGUGGGCCAGGCCCUGUCAGUACCCCCGACAACAGAAAGGAGAUGGCUCCAGUGCCUGGCACCACCACUACUACCACUUCAGUGAAGAAGGAGGAGCUGGUCCCCUCUGAAGAGGACUUCCAGGGUGUAACCCCUGGGGCCCAGGGCCCUUCCUCCCGGGGCCGAGAACCUGAGGCCAGGCCCAAGCGGGAGCUUCGGGAACGGGAAGGUCCCGGCCUAGGACCUCCACCUGUAGCGUCCGCUCUCUCAAGGGCUGAUCGGGAGAAGGCCAAGGUGGAAGAAGCCAAGCGGAAGGAAUCAGAACUCCUCAAGGGUCUCCGAGCAGAGCUCAAG